UACGUAGGGAGCAAGCGUUGUUCGGAUUUACUGGGCGUAAAGGGCGCGUAGGCGGCGUGUCAAGUCGAUUGUGAAAUCUCCGGGCUUAACUCGGAACGGCCAAUCGAUACUGACGUGCUAGAGUGCAGAAAGGGCAAUCGGAAUUCUUGGUGUAGCGGUGAAAUGCGUAGAUAUCAAGAGGAACACCUGAGGCGAAGGCGGGUUGCUAGGCUGACACUGACGCUGAGUGCGCGAAAGCUAGGGGAGCAAACAGG
rnacentral:rRNA from 1 species